rnacentral:rRNA from 1 species
AUUGAACGCUGGCGGCAGGCUUAACACAUGCAAGUCGAGCGGGGAAAGGUAGCUUGCUACCUGACCUAGCGGCGGACGGGUGAGUAAUGCUUAGGAAUCUGCCUAUUAGUGGGGGACAACAUCUCGAAAGGGAUGCUAAUACCCCAUACGUCCUACGGGAGAAAGCAGGGGACCUUCGGGCCUUGCGCUAAUAGAUGAGCCUAAGUCGGAUUAGCUAGUUGGUGGGGUAAAGGCCUACCAAGGCGACGAUCUGUAGCGGGUCUGAGAGGAUGAUCCGCCACACUGGGACUGAGACACGGCCCAGACUCCUGCGGGAGGCAGCAGUGGGGAAUAUUGGACAAUGGGGGGAACCCUGAUCCAGCCAUGCCGCGGGUGGGAAGAAGGCCUUUUGGUUGUAAAGAACUUUAAGCGAGGAGGAGGCUACCGAGAUUAAUACUCUUGGAUAGUGGACGUUACUCGCAGAAUAAGCACCGGCUAACUCGGUG